UGAUUUUUACUGACCAAGUUGUGUAUUAAGUCCAGCCCUAGCCCUUUUAAGGGGCACUGUGUGGAAUGGCCCAGGCUCUCCAGAUUGAAGCUUCUCCCUCUUCACCCUCCAGCCCUCGAGCCACUGUGAAGCAGUCCUUGGGCAGCAGUUACAGCAGUUUCUACAGGAGCGGGAACUGCUAAAAGCACAGGUGGCAGAGGUGACGGAGUGUCUUAAGAAAGCUCAGCUAGAAAGAGACGCAUACGCUCAACAACUCAAAACAGAGAGGGCGCAGUGGCAGCAGCAAAUGCUGAAAAUGGCAGGAGAAAUUGAAAUAUUCAAAAUGGAGAAAAGGCAGGAUGC